rnacentral:tRNA from 1 species
GAUGAAGUGGCUGAGUGGUUAAGGCAAUGGACUGCUAAUCCGUUGUUCUCUGAAUGCAUAGUUCAAAUCCUACCUUUGCCC